rnacentral:lncRNA from 1 species
AAACAGAGACAGACAACCACAGUUAAUGUAAACCUUGGAUCUUUAUUGAGAGAGAGAGAGAGUGGUAAAAAGAGACACUGGAGGAUAAAUACCUGAGAUGAAUAGGACCACAAAAGUUGACUUGAUGCUUUGAUCUAGUAGUGCACUAAAAUCCUUAGUCCUUACACUCAACAGUCUUUAGUCCAAAUUAAUGAUCAAUUAAAAGACAAUUGUGGGGAUGGUGAUUGCUGGUUCUACUAGAUGGUUAGGCAGUGACAAAAGAAAAAACAAAAAUUGUUGUAGAAAUUAUUGCGGUAUUCUUUUACACACUUUGCUGCUAGUAAAGACACAGCUGGGAAUAUGUCGUAGAAGACUAAGAAUAUUAGAGCUGACUGGAUAUUGGGGAUCUUGUGAUCAAUCUGUACGAGUGUAUUACCAAACAGGCGCUUUGCAGCGGGUGUAAAAUCAAAAAGCAGGUGUUUUUGAUUUUGCACCUGCUGUGGGGUGCUUGUUUGGUAAUACACUGUUAAAGUAACGACAAAGCAGUUUUAGUAAUGCUAUGAACCAAUCUGUAUGAAGAUGACCCAGACAAAACUUCACGACUCACACUCUAUGAACCAAUGGCUUAGCGACCACACCCGACAAAGGUGACUGACUCCUUAUAUCCUUUGAUCUUUUUCUUUAUUACCCUCUUCACUUCUCCCUUUCACACCAUCUGCAUGCUGUUUGACUUCUAUAG